rnacentral:lncRNA from 1 species
AUUUACUUUUUUUUUUUUUUUUUUUUUAAAUAUACGCUUAUAAUAAAAUUUUAUGAAUGUUUAAGACGGAUUUAAUAACUAUAUCGUGUCAAAAGGGGUAUACAGUGGCAGUUAAAAAAGCAAUUAUAAUAGACUUGAAUGAAGAAGAAAAUGAUUAUACACAACUGAUUAAAGAAAUAUGUUCAAAGAAAGCACAGUGCAAGAUCGAUGUUAGACAAUUCAAAAUUAAAAUUAAACACAAUGCUAUUGACGCUACCUCCGAACUAAUACUAGACUAUAUCUGUAUAAGUUCCGAGAAUAACCUAUAUGAUGGAAGGAGCUUUCAUCAAGGAAUUACUCAAAAAUAUUUAACAGUAAGAGACCGAACAAUAGGUAAUUCGACUAAAUAUAUAUUUUUUAACCAUUUUUACAUAUGUGUACACUUUUUUUUUUUUUUUUUUAAACUAUUUGUUUCGUUUUUUUAUGUUCGUAGUAUAAGUAAUAAGUUAUUUUACAUAUUUAUAUAUAUAUAUAUAUACAUUUUCUACUAUUACAGCAUGUGUUCAAAAUAGUGAGAAUGUCGAAAAGAUGUUAUCAAUUUCAAAGGCUUUGGAAAAGUGUUCCAAAAAUAAUUGCACUUACGUUGUAUGGAAUGCUGAAGAAAAAAAAAGCAGUCAUUUGUUAUGAAAAUAAUUCACAUGUAAUCAAAUAAAGUGAACAAAUCCACGACA